AUCAAGAGAAAAAUAAUGCAGAGCUGCAAAAUGCUAAUCUCCUUCCUCCUGCUCUCCUUCCUAACAGCAAGCCGACUCACAGGGUACUCAAAGCCCAGCGGUGCCUACCUGCUGUUCUUCUCCACUUCGUAGAGGAAAAGCUCGCUGCUGCCACUGCAAACCCUGAUGUCAACUCUACUCUCACAAGCUGGGGACCCUAUCCCCAGAAAUUUCACAGGACCACACACCAGCUCCACAGCCUCCACCUUCUCCUGCUCUGCAAGCCAUCCUUGGGUAAGCCUGCUCACUCUCACAGCUUCACCUAUGUGGACACACUAAAGGCUCUAAAUGUUUUUUCCUACACUACUUCUUGUCUAUGCUCUACCUACUGAUAAUUUUACCCAUAUGCACUUCAAAUUCAACAUCUUCAAAAUCAAAAUCAUUCUUCUUCUUUUUUUUUUUUUUUUGGAGAUGGAGUCUCACUCUGUUGCCCAGGCUGGAGUGCAAUGGCGCGAUCUUGGUUCACUGCAACUUCCGCCUCUCAGGUUCAAGCGAUUCUCCUGCCUCAACCUCCCAAGUAGAUGGGGUUUCACUGUGUUGCCCAGGCUGGUCUCAAACUCCUGAGCUCAGGCAAUCCACCAGCCUCGGCCUCCCAAAGUGCUAGGAUUACGGGCGUGAGCCACCGUGCCCGGCCCAAACUCAUUCUUAAUAUCUCCCCAAUCUCCUUUUCUUAUGUCCACGAAUAGGUUUAAAUCCUUACCAUCAAUCCCAGACACCCCAAUGCCUCCCUAUCUUCUAGAAACGCCUUUCCUCCAUCCUCACUUCUGUGCUUUACAACAGAACCCUGGCCUCUCUGACAUGGAUAGGCAGAGCCGCUUCCUGAAUGCUCUUUAUAUUUGGUCUCUUUCUCCUGUACAGGUUUUUUUCUGCAUUGCUUCAAGACUAAUCUAAGAUAAAAAUCUACUCUCAAACAUCGUAGCCAUUAGGGAACUGCAAAUUAAAACCACAAUCAGAUACCAGGCACAUCUAUAGGAAUGGCUAAAAUAAACAUUAUAACAUUGAGUACUGGCAACAAUGUGGAAAAACUGGAUCAUUGCUGGUGGGAAUGUAAAAUGGCACAGACACUCUGGGAAAGAGUACUGCAGUUUCUUACAAACUAAAUAUGCACUUACCAUAUGACCCAGCAAGCGCAGUCCUGGGCAUUAAUCCAGAGAAAUAAAAGCUUAUGUUCACACAAAAUCCUGUAACUGAAGGUUCAGAGCACCUUUAUGUAUAAUUGCCAUUAACUGGAAAUGACCCAUAUGUCCUUUAACAAAUGAAUGGUUAAAGAAGCUAUGGUACAUCUAUAACACGGAAUGCUACUCAGCAAUACAAAGGAAAGAACUAUUGAUGCACACAACAAAAUUAGAUGGCUAUCAAGGGAGUUCAGCUGAGUGAAAAAAGCAAUCUCGAAAGGUUAUAUACUAUAUGAUUCAAUGUAUAUAGCAUUCUUAAAAUGACAAAAUUACAGAAAUGGAGAAAAGAUUAGCAGUUGCCAGAGACUGGGGUUGAGGGGACAUGACUGUGGCUAUAAAAGGGUAACGAGAGAUCCUUGUGAUGGAACCUUUGCAUCCUGACUGUGGAAGCGGUCACACAAAUUUACACCUUUAAAAAAUGCAUAGAACACAACACACACACACACACACACACACACACACACAAAUGAGUGCAUAUAAAACUGGUGAAAUCCUAAAGUCAAUGGAUUGUAUCAAUGUCAAUCAUUAUCCUGUUGUGAUACUGGACUAUAGUUAUGCAAGAUGUUACCACUGGGGGAAACUGGAUGAAGAAUAUAUAGGAUCUCUAUAUUAUUUUUUAUAAUUGCAUGUAAAUCUACAGUUAGCUCAAAAUAAAAAGGUUUUUUUUUUUAAUCUCAUUAACUUCCAAUAGUUCCCUAAUGCCCACAGUGAAAUAUUUCUUAGCAUGGCAUGCAGAAUUUCACCCGACCUAUAAUCUCUUUACACAUCCUAUGCCCUGAACAACUAGUUCUAAGAGCUAACAUUUAUUGAGCACUGGCCAUGUGCCAGGUACCAUUUUAAAUAUUUUAUAUGUAUUAUCUCAUUUACUCCUCAGUGAUCCCAUGAGUCAGGUACUACUGUCAACCCCAUUUUAUAUACAAAUGACGUAAGUAGCUUAUCCAAAGUCCCAAUAUGUCACACGCUCUUUCCAUACCUUUGGGUCUGUACUUGUACCGCCUAAAAAGCCUCCCCACCUAAUCACCCUUUAAGGCCCUGCCCCAAUGUUACCUUCUGACUUUUUCCAGACUUAACUGUUACACUAAAUGUGUCUAGCACUCAGAUGUAAUGGAUAGAUGUUUAAUCAACAUAAGGUCUAGACAAAAGGACAUGAGGAAGUUAUAAAACUGGCACCACGAGAAGCAUUUGACACUGAUUACAUUAAGCCUGUUUCUCUGAAGUUAAACCUGAAUGGAAAAGCAUUCUAUAAUACACAGUAGGGUACAGAAAAGACUCAUUAGCAAGAAAAUGUUCAUUAAUAAAGCAAUGGCUUUAACACAACCAAAGAGGGAAAGGUAGUAUCAGGCUAAGGAAAGGCCAGUGUCAGCUGCAAAGUCCAUUAUCUUUCUCAAAUUUUCACAUAACAAAUACACCAACAAAAACCUCAACUUCCUAAACCUAGUCCAUUCUGCCUUAUUAGGUACUUUUGUAAGAAAAGGUAUAAUGCUUUUUUUCCUCAGGAAAAAGAAUAUUUUCUCGAGGUAAAAACGCAUCUUCAUUAUUUCCCUUGGAGGAAAUUAGAUUAUUAUCUAAAGACUGCUUAACUUAUGAAUUCGCUUGAAAAACAUACUGAUAAUCCCACAACUAUCUAGAAUUGUUCUGAAAUCUGAGUCUCUCCAAAGGAUUCACAUUUUAUUUUAUUUUUUAUUUUUUUGGAGACGGAGUCUCACUCUGUUGCCCAGGCUGGAGUGCAGUGGCGUGAUCUUGGCUCACUGCAACCUCUGCCUCCUGGAUUCAAGCAAUUCUCCUGCCUCCCUCCUGAGUAGCUGGGAGUACAGGUGCCCACCACCACACCUCACUAAUUUUUGUAUUUUUAGCAGAGACAGGGUUUCACCGUGUUGGCCAGGCUGGUCUCAAACUCCUGACCUCAAGUGACCCACCCACCUCAACCUCCCAAAGUGCUGGGAUUACAAGCAUGAGCCACUGUGCCUGGCCAGGUUCACAUUUUAAACACACAUGACAGAAAGUAGAAGAAAACACCAAUUUUGUUUAGGUACAUGAAUGAAGCUUAAUUGGCUUUAUAUUC
rnacentral:lncRNA from 10 species